rnacentral:rRNA from 1 species
UUGGCUUAGAAGCAACCACUCAUUCAAAGAGUGCGUAAUAGCUCACUGGUCGAGUGAUCCUGCGCCGAAGAUUUCCGGUGCUAAAACUUACUACCGAAGCUACGGCAUCAGCAAUGAUGGGUAGGGGAGCUUCCCAUACGGGUUGAAGCAUGACCGUAAGGACAUGUGGACAGUAUGGGAGUGAGAAUGUUGGCAUGAGUAGCGAGAUGUGGGAGAGAAUCCCACUGGCCGUAAACCCAAGGGUUCCAGGGGAAGGUUCGUCCGCCCUGGGUUAGUCGGGACCUAAGCUGAGGCCGAGAGGCGUAGGUGAUGGACAACAGGAUGAUAUUCCUGUACUACCGAUAACCGUCUGAGAGAUGGGAUGACACAGUAGGAAAAACUGAGGACGCUGUAGGUUAUGUGAGCACAAG